CUUGGUCAUUUAGAGGAAGUAAAAGUCGUAACAAGGUUUCCGUAGGUGAACCUGCGGAAGGAUCAUUAGUGAACGCCCUCACGGGCUUAUAACUAUUCCAAACCUCUGUGAACCGUGCCCUUCGGGGCUAUUUUACAAACAUGGUGUAAUGAACGUCAUAUAUCAUAACAAAACAAAACUUUCAACAACGGAUCUCUUGGCUCUCGCAUCGAUGAAGAACGCAGCGAAAUGCGAUAAGUAAUGUGAAUUGCAGAAUUCAGUGAAUCAUCGAAUCUUUGAACGCACCUUGCGCCCUCUGGUAUUCCGGAGGGCAUGCCUGUUUGAGUGUCAUGUAGACUCAAUCCCUCGGGUUUCCGAGGAGAUUGGACUUGGGUGUUGCCGCUCUGCCGGCUCGCCUUAAAAGACUUAGCGGGAUAGCACCGUAGUCGGCGUAAUAAGUUUCGUCGGUGAAGGUUGUGAUGACUGCUUACAAUCGCCCUCGGGCAAUUUUUGACUCUGACCUCAAAUCAGGUAGGACUACCUGCUGAACUUAAGCAUAUCAAUAAGCGGAGGA
rnacentral:rRNA from 1 species